GGUGAGCAUGGGAGAUAGGGAAAGGACUGGGUAUCGUCUCUUUGUGUGACUUCCAGUUGCCUGCUGUCCUGGUGUCUCUUGCCGUCAUCUGCUCCACCCCUGAAGGUGGGUGAAGUGCCUCUCUUCCGUGUCCCCAGAGCUCCGGGCUCUCUGGACACUAAUUGCCUCUCUGCUUGCUUGGAUCCCCAUUGGACUGGGAGCGCUGUGAGGACACACCGUUGUCCCCCACACUGGGACACUGCCUGGCCCGCGGCAGACCAUGAUUACUCCAGCAACAGCUGGACGCUGGAUCCUCGGCUACGCGUUAUUCUUUGUCUCUCCGAAGAUGUGAGUGCUCAGAAAGUUUAGGACCAGUGGAAGAAUGGGGGAUCCUGAAGGACUUGGGCUGAGAAAAGAGGGGCGCCCCCAAGGAGAUAGAGGGUAUGGAAAAUGCGUUCAGACUAUUGAUUGAGCACUGAAGGCUGCCCUGAGGACGUCUCGCCUCAGACCCUGGGCUUCCUUCUUCCCUGUUCCCAGAGUGACCUUGACAGCUAUGUUGCCCCAGGGCUCAGAGCGCAGUCUGGCUCCACAGGCUCCCCACAGGGUGGCAAAAGUUCAGGAAAGGAAAACAAAACAGAAAACCAAAAAAAUCACUGAGGUAGGAACUAGCAAGUCGUUACUGUACACAUAGCACAAAGGCAGUAUGCAGAUUGGGAGCACUCAGACCAGAGCGGGGAGCCAGCGAGGCUCAGAGGCCUAUUGUUACAAAGCGGCCUCUGUAGUGUGUAGGCAGUGACUGUGGAUUGCGCUCGCCGACUGCUUACAAUAUUAGAAUUUUCUUAAAGAAGGGGAACCUGUGAAUGGUUACCUCAUAAUAAUUCUGGUAACCAUUUAAGUUUUGUUUAUGGUAU